GCCCUAGUCUUCGCCGAGCCUGGAGGGGACAGUCCCGUCACCGGAAGAAGGCUCUCGGCCAGGGCAGGCUGGAGCCAGUGCCUCUCAAGACAGAGGGGCGGAGGGUCAAGCGAAGCUGAGGGACCCGUGGCAGAUUUGGGAUGAGCGAGCAGGACGGGUGUGUGGAGGCCGGGGAGAGAAAGCUGGUGGGCCGGAAGCAGAGCUGAGGCCCAGUGUUGAGCCGAGAUGGCCCAAGCCUGACAUUCCAUGAUCUGGGAUCCUGACCUAUGUGUACAGGCUGCUGCUUGCUAGCGGAUGAUCUAAACCACCAGGCAGACCUGGGCCAGGAGAGGAGGACUCUCUGCCUGGAUGUGUGGGAACUCCCUGCCAACUUGAUUGUCGGAUCUGGGGGGGAUCCACCCCCACCCCCACAGAGAAAGCACAAUCUGUUUUGCGGGUGGGGUCUCAGGUGUCACCCCCUGAAGCAUGGCCACCCCUGUGGUCACCAAGACUGCCUGGAAGUUAC
rnacentral:lncRNA from 1 species